AGAAUGAUGAUGCAGGAAUGACAAAGGGAGAUACUGGGGAAUGUCAAGUCAAACAAAUCAUAGCUCUUCUCCGGUGGCUCCUGUGACCUUGUUCUGAGGAGAAGUGAAGGAAAUUCCAGAAGAAAAGCAAGCAGCAUAAAAACGACUUUUUACGGAAAGUUCAACAACCUCCAGAGAGAUCGAGUAUGGCAUGCUGAAGGAGCUGACUUCAUUUAUUAAAUGCACUUCCCGAUGUGUUAAGUAACUCGUUCUUCUAAGUGCACAGGAGAAUUGACACAGCAACAUUAACUUGAUUUAAUUAGCUCAUAAAAUCUGGACUUGCCAAGCUGGUCAACUGAGGCCACUUUUGGGAACCCAGAGGAAGAAGCCUAACCUCUUAGGUUAUUUCCUGGCCUCCCUUCUGUGACCUAUGACCGAAGCUGACCUUUAGCUGGAGAAUGUGACAUUUUGGGUGAUAAAAUAGUGAGUCCUGCACCUGGCCUUCAACAAAGAUGUGUCCUUACCAAGAGCACACUGAAAUGUCUAACUCCUGAAAGAAUGUUUUGCAAGUUUUAGAGUUUGACAAGAUAUGGUGACUCGAGCCUGCAACACCAGGUCUUGGGUGGCCAAGGUGAAAGGAUAGCUUUAAUUUCAGGGCUGACCUGAGCUAGAUAGCAGGGUUCUGUUUCAAAACAAAAGCCGUGUGGAUCCCCCACCAAAGAAAAGCCUCAAUGUAAAUCUGCUUUCAUAAUUUUAAUAACUCUAUCCAAUCAAUUCUGAUGUUCUGUUCAUAGAUGAGUUCUUAGCUUACAUAUAAAAUAUCUUUCCUGUGUCAUUUUUAUGCCUAAUUGGUGUAUAACAUCCACUGAACAUCAAAAUAAAUGUUAUAAGUCAUUG
rnacentral:lncRNA from 1 species